UGGGGAAUAUUGCACAAUGGGCGCAAGCCUGAUGCAGCAACGCCGCGUGAGGGAUGACGGCCUUCGGGUUGUAAACCUCUUUUAGUAGGGAAGAAGCGAAAGUGACGGUACCUGCAGAAAAAGCACCGGCUAACUACGUGCCAGCAGCCGCGGUAAUACGUAGGGUGCGAGCGUUGUCCGGAAUUAUUGGGCGUAAAGAGCUCGUAGGCGGUCUGUCGCGUCUGCUGUGAAAACCCCGAGGCUCAACCUCGGGCCUGCAGUGGGUACGGGCAGACUAGAGUGCGGUAGGGGAGAAUGGAAUUCCUGGUGUAGCGGUGGAAUGCGCAGAUAUCAGGAGGAACACCGAUGGCGAAGGCAGUUCUCUGGGCCGUAACUGACGCUGAGGAGCGAAAGCGUGGGGAGCGAACAGGAUUAGAUACCCUGGUAGUCCACGCCGUAAACGUUGGGCGCUAGAUGUGGGGGCCCAUUCCACGGUUUCCGUGUCGCAGCUAACGCAUU
rnacentral:rRNA from 1 species